rnacentral:rRNA from 1 species
CUACGUGCCAGCAGCCGCGGUAAUACGUAGGGUGCGAGCGUUAAUCGGAAUUACUGGGCGUAAAGCGAGCGCAGACGGUUACUUAAGCAGGAUGUGAAAUCCCCGGGCUCAACCUGGGAACUGCGUUCUGAACUGGGUGACUAGAGUGUGUCAGAGGGAGGUAGAAUUCCACGUGUAGCGGUGAAAUGCGUAGAGAUGUGGAGGAAUACCGAAGGCGAAGGCAGCCCCUUGGGAAUGUACUGACGCUCAUGUGCGAAAGCGUGGGGAGCAAACAGGAUUAGAUACCCUGGUAGUCCACGCUGUAAACGCUGUCGAUUUGGGGAUUGGGCUUUAAGCUUGGUGCCCGUAGCUAACGUGAUAAAUCGACCGCCUGGGGAGUACGGCCGCAAGGUUAAAACUCAAAUGAAUUGACGGGGGCCCGCACAAGCGGUGGAGCAUGUGGUUUAAUUCGAUGCAACGCGAAGAACCUUACCUACUCUUGACAUCCAUGGAAUCUUGUAGAGAUACGGGAGUGC